GCGGGCAUAGCAUAGUUGGUAAUGUGCGAGCUUGCCAAGUUCGAGAUCCCGGGUUCGAGCCCCGGUGCCCGCUCCA
rnacentral:tRNA from 1 species